rnacentral:rRNA from 1 species
CNAUGGGGGAACCCUGAUGCAGCGACGCCGCGUGGAGGAAGAAGGUCUUCGGNAACGUAAACUCCUGGAAGUNGAGGAAGAUAAUGACGGUACUCAACAAGGCAAGUGACGGCUAACUACGUGCCAGCAGCCGCGGUAAAACGUAGGUCACAAGCGUUGUCCGGAAUUACUGGGUGUAAAGGGAGCGCAGGCGGGAAGACAAGUUGGAAGUGAAAUCUAUGGGCUCAACCCAUAAACUGCUUUCAAAACUGUUUUUCUUGAGUAGUGCAGAGGUAGGCGGAAUUCCCGGUGUAGCGGUGGAAUGCGUAGAUAUCGGGAGGAACACCAGUGGCGAAGGCGGCCUACUGGGCACCAACUGACGCUGAGGCUCGAAAGUGUGGGUAGCAAACAGGAUUAGAUACCCUGGUAGUCCAAGGGCGAAUUC